GGGCCAGUGGCGCAAUGGAUAACGCGUCUGACUACGAAUCAGAAGAUUGUAGGUUCAACUCCUGCCUGGCUCG
rnacentral:tRNA from 1 species